rnacentral:tRNA from 1 species
GGGGUUCUAGCUUAGUGGUAGAGCGUUUGCCUUGCAUGCAUGAAGCACUGGGUUCGAUCCUCAGUACUACA